CCGAGCGUUCCGUCUCUUAGUAACCAGUCACUAGCCACCUGGCCCACCACUUCUGACUUCUGGCGAGCAGCUGCCGCACCUGGAUGGAACACGCAUGCGCAGAGCUGUAGCUCUUGCCUCAGUCCUUCUUCUGCUAACACCUGCUGCUUCGCUGCCCCGGCUUUGCGUCAUUUUUCCCAAGGAUCGGGCACAAUUCUGGACCUACGUACAGUGAACCGGUUGCUCCCCAGAACGGCGCUCUGGCGCUCGGAGGUCCUUGUGCUCUCCUGCCACAGCGCAGAGCCAGUUUGAGGGGCUGCCUUCUGCUGCUGCAUCCUCUCUCGGUGAGAGCCUGCCUGGCCUGUUUUGGUGAACCCUGGCAGCCUGCAGUCCGUGGACUCUAAGCUCAUUUCAGUCCUGCACGAUUCAGUCAGAGUUGAAUCGGGAAAUAUCAGAUUGCGGACCUAUUUUCUCCAUAUGGCAGUUCUCCGAAUUCCCUUUCCCUUAAAAUUUGGUAAUAAUUAACAAAAGAGAAGGUUUUUGUAACUGUUCUCUGACGAUCGUCAAAUACUGUACACCUGUGCACUUCAAAAGUAGUCUCUCACUUGAAGAUACUGUUUUGCCAGCUGUCAAGUUGAAGAAAUACUUCCACUACAUAAAGCAGUUCCUGAAAACCAUCUUGAUAUUUGUUCAGCUGACCCAAU